UCCCGAAAGGGGUAGCUAAUACCGAAUGUGUAUGAUUUUCGCAUGAAGAUGAUACUAAAGGUGGCCUCUGAAUAUGACUACCGCUAGAAGAUGAGCCUGCGUCUGAUUAGCUAGUUGGAGGGGUAACGCCCACCAAGGCUUCGAUCAGUAGCCGGUCUGAGAGGAUGAACGGGCCACACUGGGACUGAGACACGGCCCAGACUCCUACGGGAGGCAGCAGUGGGGAAUCUUCCGCAAUGGACGAAAGUCUGACGGAGCAACGCCGCGUGAGUGAAGAAGGUUUUCGGAUCGUAAAGCUCUUUCGUUAGGGGCGAACGUGCUCUUUGUGAAUAAUGAGGAGUAAUGACGGUACCUAAAUAAGAAGCCACGGCUAACUACGUGCCAGCCGCUGC
rnacentral:rRNA from 1 species